GAGGAUUUAGCUUAACUAAAGCGUCUGGUUUGCAUCCAGUUGAUGUAGGGUAGUAUCUUGCAGUCCUUA